UCCUUCUCUUCCUUAGAGACGGAAUCUAGGCCCAAGACGGUGAAUUGGCGCCGAGAAAGCAGAUACAGCCACCCAGCCAGCUCCAGCUCCAACGCCACGGUCUCUGCCCCCGCACCCACCCCCGUCCCUCUCAGGCGGCGACCGCAGCGCAAGCUUCGGCCUGACCAGGACUCCCCAUCCGGGGAGAGCCAUCGCUCACUGACCCAGGAAGGUGUCAAACGAGGAAGUAGCAGCAGUAACAGAUCUACAGAUGAAGAAAGGGCACGGAGUUGUUCAGCACAAGGGAAUAGAUACCAGGUGUUGAAUCCAGGCUCUCCUACUUACUAGUUGUGUGACCUUACACCUCUGAAUUUCAGCCUAUUCACCUGCAAAGGGGUGGUAAAAAUACCUUACAGAGGUAUUGUGAGGAU
rnacentral:antisense_RNA from 1 species